rnacentral:lncRNA from 1 species
UAGAUUUGUACUAUACUCUUAUGAGUACAAUCGUCAUUGUAAUCAUAAAUCAUUUUUUGUGAUAGUGCUUUCGAAGCAACAAUUAAUACAUUUAAAUAUGAUUGAGAGCAUUUGCAAUUUCUAGAAACCAAAAUUUAUCAUUUUUCAACAUUAUUUAUCUUACGAUCAAAAUAUCUUAAAAUUAGCAAUUUUUAACAACUGGUAUAGAAUACUUGCUAGUUUCACGGUGUAAAAGAAUAGAAAUUGAUUGAAUUUUUUAUAAAAAAUUUUAUUUACUAUCUAAAUAAAGAUCAAUAACUUUGAUCCUAAAAUGAAAAAUUCAACCUUUUAUUUUUAGGAGGUCCUUUGAUUUUAACACUGUUCAUUUUAUACCUGCUUGACGGAUAUUAUUAUAAUUUAGAAAAAUUAUGAAAUUUAUUUUUUAGAAAUUUUAAAUACUAAAAUUUUAUUUAACGGUGUGGAUUAUUAAUUUAGAAGUUCGAUUAUUGAAAUCAACUUAUGAUCGUGGGAGCGUAGUAGUCCUCUCUCUCUCUCUCUCUCUCUCUCUCUCUCUCUCUCUCUCUCUUAUAUAUAUUAUAUAUAUAUAUAUAUAUAAUAUAUUUAUAUAUAUAGAAUUAUGUUACUAUACUAUUAAUAGCAACCUUAGAUGAAAGGAUAUAUGGUUAGAAUGAUAGUGAUCCUCUAGAGUUAAGUGGAUGGUUAGUUGAAUAUAUAGUAUGAUUUAACGGAUAGAAAUGAUCAAAGGAAUACAUCUAACUAACGGCGGAAAACUUGAUAACACCAAACGCUUGGUGAUAUUGAUAAUAUAAUAGUCGGAAUAUAUAUAUAUAUAUAUAUAUAGAGAGAGAGAGAGAGAGAGAGAGAGAGAAUUGGGCUCCUAUACUUUCAAAAGUACGGAGGCCUCUGUGUUUGUAAAUUAUUUUCAACGAUGAGACAUUUGAUUCGACUAUCGGUUCAGUUAAACAUGAUCUACACUAUUGUAACUAUUUAGAAAUCAAAUUUCAUAUUAUUUGACUUCAUUGCCUAAUGAACGAGUAGCCUAAAAAUAAAUAGCUAAAAAUAAAAAUCUCAUAAAAAAAUAAUGAUAAAAGACUCAAAUUUCAAUCAGAAUUAUUGAUCUUACUAUUGAUAUUAAGUAGAAUUUUCUAGUAAAAUUUUAUGUAAUUUGGAAUGUUCUACACCGUUGAACUUAAAAGUGUGCCACAUCGGCUAUUAAAAUGGCCAUUUUUGAGAUCUUUUGAUCACAUGGUAAAUGAUAUCGAAAAAUUAUAAAAUUUGGUUUCUAGAUAGUUCCAAUUGCGUAGAUUAUGCUUAACGAAGGCGAUCAACAAAUCAAAUGUCCUAUCAUCGAAAACAACUUACAAGUACGGAGGCCUCCGUACUUUCUAAAGCACGGGAGAUGUAUAUGUAUAUAUAUGAGUACAUCUCCCGUGCUUUAUAUAUGUAUCCAAACAGCUUAAAAAUGAAUCUGUGAAAUUUUUUUGUAGUUACAGAAUUCCGUAUUUCAUUUAGACCAAAAUCAUAAAAUAAAAAUUUCAUGAAGUUUUUUAACUAUCCAUCCAAAUAGGGCCUAAAUGUUGACAAUGCACAGAAUUUAGAUUAAAGUGGUAUUCUAAGUAGACAUCGGAAGAAUCACGCAAGUUAAUUAAGCAUCUAAUUCCCAACAAACUUAAAACCCAUUUUCUAAACAACUUGUGAACACUUUCCAAAAAGCUCUUAUUUACUUGCAAAACCUACCAUACAUAAUUUUGAAUUCAAACUUCUAGGGAUAUACAAGGUGUAGUAUUUUUCAAAUUAGUUACCACUAUACUAUCCCUAAGUUCACUUGGCCUCUAAUUAGCCGUUCAUCACAAACAAUGAGAGAAUCUUUAAUUAAUUAGAUUGUCUCUCUGUGGAGAGACUAUCUGUAUGACUUUUCAUUUAAACAAUCUAAUUAAUUGGCCAUCACAGGUAAUGUAAGAAUCUUCAGACUGUAAUGAACGGUGAAACCAAAUUUAUAUGAAAAUUUUUUUAACAGAGAGACAGUCUAACCAACCAUUAGGCAGUGCUGGGGGUGGCAAUCCAGCUCGCUGUUCGCGAGCNAAAUAAAAAUGAUCAAAAGAUUCAUCUAACAUCAGAAAACUCGAUAGUAUCAAGAGGUUAAUACUAUCGAUAGUAUAGUAACUAGACUCUCUCUCUAUAUAUAUAUAUAUAUAUAUAGAGAGAGAGAGAGAGAGAGAGAGAGAGAGAGAGAAGGCCAAAAGUACCAAACAUUGCCCUAGAGAGAUAUAUUGGAAAUCAAUACAAUACAAUACAAACUUGUCGAAUCCAAAAGUGAUAUGAGUUGGCACAAUUAUCAUAAAAAUUUUCUCAAAUACAAGCACGACCCACCAACCAGAAUCAACAUCCCUAACUAGAAUGCCAUUUUUGAAUAUUUUAAAAUACUGGAUAUCAUCUUACGGGUCACCGUUUGACUAAUUAAUGUACCAUUAAGGCAUUAAAAAUCUACAACUUAAAUGUGUUAGAGAUAACGAAUUACCCAAUUGCAUCCCCUCCACAAAAUCCAACAAGAGCUUCACUUCAAAUGCAAGAUAUUUCCAAUGCAAUCCAUUCAAAGGAUUGGACUAAUGAAUAAGAAAGAAACAUCCUACCAAUUUAUGCCCUAAUGGCCUUACAAAAACUUUGUCAUUUUCUUUCUGAAAAAGAAACAUAGGCACUGUGCCAUUUUACCAUUCAAAUGUGAUUAGGACACAUGAGCCAACCAUUUAUUGGCUUUUACACCAAGUAGGGACUUAUCUCUACCUCCCAUUUUUUUGCUGAUGUGUUAGUUUGCACUAUGUAUAAAUCAAUAAAAGAAUGCCAUGCAUGUAUAUGCCUCUAUAAGUAUUUUAUACAUAUGUAUAGAUUUGUACUAUACUCUUAUGAGUACAAUCGUCAUUGUAAUCAUAAAUCAUUUUUUGUGAUAGUGCUUUCGAAGCAACAAUUAAUACAUUUAAAUAUGAUUGAGAGCAUUUGCAAUUUCUAGAAACCAAAAUUUAUCAUUUUUCAACAUUAUUUAUCUUACGAUCAAAAUAUCUUAAAAUUAGCAAUUUUUAACAACUGGUAUAGAAUACUUGCUAGUUUCACGGUGUAAAAGAAUAGAAAUUGAUUGAAUUUUUUAUAAAAAAUUUUAUUUACUAUCUAAAUAAAGAUCAAUAACUUUGAUCCUAAAAUGAAAAAUUCAACCUUUUAUUUUUAGGAGGUCCUUUGAUUUUAACACUGUUCAUUUUAUACCUGCUUGACGGAUAUUAUUAUAAUUUAGAAAAAUUAUGAAAUUUAUUUUUUAGAAAUUUUAAAUACUAAAAUUUUAUUUAACGGUGUGGAUUAUUAAUUUAGAAGUUCGAUUAUUGAAAUCAACUUAUGAUCGUGGGAGC